GCCAUUGACAAUAGCACAGUGAAUGCACUAGUUCCCAACGGAUCACUGAAGUUAAGCAACGUUGUGCGUGGUUGGUAACC
rnacentral:rRNA from 1 species